rnacentral:rRNA from 1 species
UUGCGAUUAGAGUUUGAUCCUGGCUCAGGACAAACGCUGGCGGCGUGCUUAACACUUGCAACUCGAACGGUCCUUGCUUCGGUGAGGAUAGUGGCGGACGGGUGAGUAACACGUAGAUGACCUGCCCUUGUGUGGGGAAUAACUACUCGAAAGAGUGGCUAAUACCGCAUACGUUCUCUUUCGUCCGGAGAGAGAAGAAACCUGGUAUCGUAAGAACCGGGGCACGAGGAGGGGUCUGCGGCGGAUUAGCUAGUUGGGGGGGUAACGGCUCACCAAGGCGACGAUCCGUAGCUGGUCUGAGAGGACGGCCAGCCACACUGGGACUGAGACACGGCCCAGACUCCUACGGGAGGCAGCAGUGAGGAAUAUUCCACAAUGGGCGCAAGCCUGAUGGAGCGACGCCGCGUGCGGGAAGAAGGCCUUCGGGUUG